rnacentral:tRNA from 1 species
GGUAAAAUGGCUGAGGGUUAAGCGGCGGAGUGUAGUUCCGAAAACAAGGGUUUAAGUCCUUUUGUUACC